GUGGGGAAUAUUGGACAAUGGGCGCAAGCCUGAUCCAGCCAUGCCGCGUGAGUGAUGAAGGCCUUAGGGUUGUAAAGCUCUUUUGUCCGGGAAGAUAAUGACUGUACCGGAAGAAUAAGCCCCGGCUAACUUCGUGCCAGCAGCCGCGGUAAUACGAAGGGGGCUAGCGUUGUUCGGAAUUACUGGGCGUAAAGCGCACGUAGGCGGAUAUUUAAGUCAGGGGUGAAAUCCCAGAGCUCAACUCUGGAACUGCCUUUGAUACUGGGUAUCUCGAGUAUGGAAGAGGUGAGUGGAAUUCCGAGUGUAGAGGUGAAAUUCGUAGAUAUUCGGAGGAACACCAGUGGCGAAGGCGGCUCACUGGUCCAUUACUGACGCUGAGGUGCGAGAGCGUGGGGAGCAAACAGGAUUAGAUACCCCAGUAGUCC
rnacentral:rRNA from 1 species